rnacentral:rRNA from 1 species
GACGUAGGGCGCGAGCGUUGUCCGGAUUUAUUGGGCGUAAAGAGCUCGUAGGCGGCUUGUCGCGUCGUUCGUGAAAACCUGCAGCUCAACUGCAGGCUUGCGGGCGAUACGGGCAGGCUAGAGUUCGGUAGGGGAGACUGGAAUUCCUGGUGUAGCGGUGAAAUGCGCAGAUAUCAGGAAGAACACCAAUGGCGAAAGCAGCUCUCUGGGACGGUACUGACGCUGAGACGCGAAAGCGUGGGGAGCGAACAGG